GACGAACGCUGGCGGCGUGCUUAACACAUGCAAGUCGAACGGAAAGGCCCUGCUUUUGUGGGGUGCUCGAGUGGCGAACGGGUGAGUAACACGUGAGUAACCUGCCCUUGACUUUGGGAUAACUUCAGGAAACUGGGGCUAAUACCGGAUAGGAGCUCCUGCUGCAUGGUGGGGGUUGGAAAGUUUCGGCGGUUGGGGAUGGACUCGCGGCUUAUCCGCUUGUUGGUGAGGUAGUGGCUUACCAAGGUUUUGACGGGUAGCCGGCCUGGGAGGGUGACCGGCCACAAUGGGACUGAGAUACGGCCCAGACUCCUACGGGAGGCAGCAGUGGGGAAUAUUGCACAAUGGGCGGAAGCCUGAUGCAGCAACGCCGCGUGCGGGAUGACGGCCUUCGGGUUGUAAACCGCUUUCGCCUGUGACGAAGCGUGAGUGACGGUAAUGGGUAAAGAAGCACCGGCUAACUACGUG
rnacentral:rRNA from 1 species